rnacentral:rRNA from 1 species
GAUGAACGCUGGCGGCGUGCCUAAUACAUGCAAGUCGAGCGAACGGACGAGAAGCUUGCUUCUCUGAUGUUAGCGGCGGACGGGUGAGUAACACGUGGAUAACCUACCUAUAAGACUGGGAUAACUUCGGGAAACCGGAGCUAAUACCGGAGGAUAUUUUGAACCGCAUGGUUCAAAAGUGAAAGACGGUCUUGCUGUCACUUAUAGAUGUAUCCGCGCUGCAUUAGCUAGUUGGUAAGGUAACGGCUUACCAAGGCAACGAUGCAUAGCCGACCUGAGAGGGUGAUCGGCCACACUGGAACUGAGACACGGUCCAGACUCCUACGGGAGGCAGCAGUAGUGAAUCUUCCGCAAUGGGCGAAAGCCUGACGGAGCAACGCCGCGUGAGUGAUGAAGGUCUUCGGAUCGUAAAACUCUGUUAUUAGGGAAGAACAUAUGUGUAAGUAACUGUGCACAUCUUGACGGUACCUAAUCAGAAAGCCACGGCUAACUACGUG